GACGAACGCUGGCGGCGUGCUUAACACAUGCAAGUCGAACGAAGAGCGAUGGAAGCUUGCUUCUAUCAAUCUUAGUGGCGAACGGGUGAGUAACGCGAAAUCAACCUGCCCUUCAGAGGGGGACAACAGUUGGAAACGACUGCUAAUACCGCAUACGAUCUAAUCUCGGCAUCGAGGAUAGAUGAAAGGUGGCCUCUACAUGUAAGCUAUCACUGAAGGAGGGGAUUGCGUAUGAUUAGCUAGUUGGAGGGGUAACGGCCCACCAAGGCGAUGAUCAGUAGCCGGUCUGAGAGGAUGAACGGCCACAUUGGGACUGAGACACGGCCCAGACUCCUACGGGAGGCAGCAGUGGGGAAUCUUCCGCAAUGGACGAAAGUCUGACGGAGCAACGCCGCGUGAGUGAUGACGGCCUUCGGGUUGUAAAGCUCUGUUAAUCGGGACGAAAGGCCUUCUUGCGAACAGUUAGAAGGAUUGACGGUACCGGAAUAGAAAGCCACGGCUAACUACGUG
rnacentral:rRNA from 1 species